GACGAACGCUGGCGGCGUGCUUAACACAUGCAAGUCGAACGGAAAGGCCCUGCUUUUGUGGGGUGCUCGAGUGGCGAACGGGUGAGUAACACGUGAGUAACCUGCCCUUGACUUUGGGAUAUCUUCAGGAAACUGGGGCUAAUACCGGAUAGGAGCUCCUGCUGCAUGGUGGGGGUUGGAAAGUUUCGGCGGUUGGGGAUGGACUCGCGGCUUAUCAGCUUGUUGGUGGGGUAGUGGCUUACCAAGGCUUUGACGGGUAGCCGGCCUGAGAGGGUGACCGGCCACAUGGGGACUGAGAUACGGCCCAGACUCCUACGGGAGGCAGCAGUGGGGAAUAUUGCACAAUGGGCGGAAGCCUGAUGCAGCAACGCCGCGUGCGGGAUGACGGCCUUCGGGUUGUAAACCGCUUUCGCCUGUGACGAAGCGUGAGUGACGGUAAUGGGUAAAGAAGCACCGGCUAACUACGU
rnacentral:rRNA from 1 species